GGGAAGGAGGAGGGGCGAGGUGACGCAGGCGUAAUAAUAGAGAAGGUGCCAGAAAGAUCCAAAACAAGUGGCUGCGGCCGUCGCCCAGGAGUCACCGGACGCCAGAAUCUGUGUCUCCAGAACGCUAUAGCUAUGGCACCUCCAGCUCUUCAAAGAGGACAGAGGGUAGCUGCCGUCGCCGUCGGCAGUCAAGCAGUUCUGCAAAUUCUCAGCAGGGUCAGUGGGAGACAGGCUCCCCCCCAACCAAGCGGCAGCGGCGGAGUCGGGGCCGGCCCAGUGGUGGUGCCAGACGGCGGCGGAGAGGGGCCCCAGCCGCACCCCAGCAGCAGCCAGAGCCCGCCAGACCUUCCUCUGAAGGCAAAGUGACCUGUGACAUCCGGCUCCGGGUUCGAGCAGAGUACUGCGAGCAUGGGCCAGCCUUGGAGCAGGGCGUGGCAUCCCGGCGGCCCCAGGCGCUGGCGCGGCAGCUGGACGUGUUUGGGCAGGCCACCGCAGUGCUGCGCUCAAGGGACCUGGGCUCCGUGGUUUGUGACAUCAAGUUCUCAGAGCUCUCCUAUCUGGACGCCUUCUGGGGCGACUACCUGAGUGGCGCCCUGCUGCAGGCCCUGCGGGGCGUGUUCCUGACUGAGGCCCUGCGAGAGGCUGUGGGCCGGGAGGCUGUUCGCCUGCUGGUCAGUGUGGAUGAGGCUGACUAUGAGGCUGGCCGGCGCCGCCUGUUGCUGAUGGAGGAGGAAGGGGGGCGGCGCCCGACAGAGGCCUCCUGAUCCAGGACUGGCAGGAUUGAUCCCACCUCCAAGUCUCCAGGCCACCUUCUCCUGGGAGGACGACCAUCUCUACCCCUAGAGGACUGUCACUCUAGCAUCUUUGAGGACUGCCACAGGACCAGGACAGCAGGCCCCUUGACAGCCCCUCCCACAGGAUGUGGGCUCUGAGGCCUAAACCAUUUCCAGCUGAGUUUCCUUCCCAGACUCCUCCUACCCCCAGGUGUGCCCCCUUAGCCUCUGGAGGCGGGGGCUGGGCCUGUAUCUCAGAAGGGAGGGGCACAGCUACACACUCACCAAAGGCCCCCCUGCACAUUGCAUCUCUGAUCUUGGGCUGUCUGCACUCUCACAGGUGCACACACUCACUCAUGCUCACACUGCCCCUGCUGAGAUCUUCCCUGGGCCUCUGCCCUGGCCUGCUUCCCAGCACACACUUCUUUGGCCUAAGGGCUUCUCUCUCAGGACCUCUAAUUUGACCACACCCAACCUGGGCUUCAGCCACAUCAGUGGGCACUGGAGCUGGGGUGCACAUGGGGCCUGCUCACCUUGCCCACACAUCUUCAGCCAGCCAGGGCCCUGCCCAGCUUCAAUUUACAGACCUGACUCUCCUCACCUUCCCCCCUGCUGUCCAGAGCUGAACAUAGACUUGCACUUGGAUGUCACCUGGAGUGUCACAUGGGAGUGUUAUGGCAGCAUCAUACCAAGGCCUACUGUUGCACAUGGGGCCAAAACCAGUAAACAGCCACCUUCUUGGAAAGGGAAUGCAUAGGCUUUGGGGGUGAUGGAAAAGACCUUUUACAAAUGAUACCAAUUAAACUGCCCUGG
rnacentral:sRNA from 1 species